rnacentral:piRNA from 1 species
UGCUCUGCAAAAUGGACUUCAGGGUGUGC